AUCAUUUUUAGGGUCAUACUCAGCCCUUGGGGGUCGAAUAAUGAAGUUGACAAGUUGUUCCAUGAGAUUUAGGUAACCCAAGAUCUUCUUUCUCUCUCUCCCAAAUAGAAAACUGUACAAGUUUCUUUGACCUCUGUAUAUGAUUCUUCUUUUUUUGUGUGUGAAAAAUUAGGUAAGAAAUGGAAGCACCGCUAUUGCGGUGGGGAGGGGGCAGAUGAAGAAAAGAAGAAGAAAACGAGAAAAGCGGUGUAUGACCCUUGGUUGGUUGCGUUGGACUCCAUUCGCAUUUUGAUUCUUUGCACACAAAA
rnacentral:misc_RNA from 1 species